UUCCCCAUCCGUACUUAUUAAUAUCUUCCUCUCUGUUUUUCAUUUUCUCUCCUGCUUCCAUUUAAUCUAAAUUUCUUGAAAACGUUUUCAGAUCUUAUUCAUUUUAGGGUUUUAAAAAUAUUCGCUGCUCUCUUGAUAGAGAGAAAGAGCCAGCACACACAUAUGCAUAAUUUUGCAUGAAGGAGAGAGUGAAUAUUUAUAGUUUGGUUGACCCAUUAUGCUUCUUAGACUCGUUGGAAUAUGAUGUUUGUAUUCUAAGUAUCUAUUGUCACUGGUAUUGACAUGAAGACAUGAAUAAAAUUGACACAAGGUGGUUGAGAUAUGUGAUGAGGUGGCUGAGAUAUGGAAUGAAGGAUGAGGUGGCUGAGUUAUGGACAUGAGACGGCUGAGUUAUGACAUGAGGUGGCUGAGUUAAGACGCUAAGUUAUGACAUGAGGUGGCUGAGUCAUUGAGACGAAAAGAGCUAUCGGAGAGUGUUGACUUUGAGGUAUGAACUCAGAUUUGAAAUCAAAUCUGGUGGAGCCUUUAGAGCAUCCUAUUAUCCAGCUUACCAUCUCACUUAUGUACUAUGUUUCUAUAACUAUCACUGUUAAGGAAACAUUAUCUUCUCUCUCUCUAGCAAGUCCACUCUUAUUCUUCAUUAUCUUUAUGGUAUUAGAGCAUUAAGCUCAUGAUUACCUCAGUUACUUCCGCAAGCUUACUCUGUUACUUUCUUUUUCUUGUUUCUCUGUUUUUAUUUCACAAAUUUUUCUACAGAUUUCUUUUAUCCAGUGGAUAAUAAAUCUGAGUUCUUUAGUGUUCUUGUUUUCUUCAAAUUUCUUGGCUUUCCAGAGUUGAUAUCUCUCAAAUCCAUUCUUGAAAUUUCAAACAAUUCUUUGCGACAGCUUAAGAGAUGGUUCAUUACAGAGCAGUUCACAUUCCAGUCACACUCAAGGGACCAGGAAACUAUAUUACCUGGUCUAGAAUGACCAAGACAGCCCUUGGAGGAAGAGGCUUUUGGGAGCAUGACACUUCAGGUUCAGCUCCAAAGCAAAUCACCCAAGGAGAAGAUGGCAAGGAGGUUGUAGUGGUAGAUGAAGGCAAAUGAGUUCAGGAAGAUCUCAUGGUGUUGUCUAUCUUGCAAAGCUCUCUUGAUGGUCCUCUUAUGGACUUUUACUCACACUGCACAACCCCAAAACAGUUGUGGGAUACUUUGCACAAGGUGUAUGGCAACACUUCAAAUCUCACCAGAAUAUUUGAAGUAAAGAGAGCCAUCAACAACUUGCAGCAAGAAGAAAGAUGAGAUCAAUGCAAUGAUUAAGAAUGAUAAUUGGUAUGAAACGGAACUCCCCAAAAGAAAGAAGGCAGUGACAAGUCGCCUGCUUUACAUCAUCAAAUAUUUGGCUAAUGGAAAGCCAGAAAGGAAGAAGACAAGGCUAGUUGCAAGAGGAUACACUCAGGUCUAUGGAGAAGACUAUCUAGACACCUUUGCACCAGUAGCAAAGCUCCACACCAUAAGGAUUCUUCUCUCAGCGGCAGUGAACUUGGAAUGGGAUCUAUGGCAGAAGGAUGUCAAGAAUGCAUUUCUUCAAGGAGAGCUGGAGGAUGAGGUCUACAUGAGACCACCACCUGGUAUGGAAGACAUGGUCAAGCCAGGAAAUGUCCUAAGAUUGAAGAAAGCAAUCUAUGGAUUAAAACAGUCUCCAAGAGCUUGGUAUCACAAGUUGAGUGCAACUCUCAAUGGAAGAGGGUUUGUAAAAUCAGAAGCUGACCAUACUCUCUUCACUCUCACAAGCAAGCAAGGAAUUGUGGUGAUCCUGAUCUAUGUAGAUGAUAUCAUCACCUCUACUAAAUCUUUUUUUAAGUCUACAUUUGAUAUUAAAGAUUUGGGUGAACUAAAAUACUUUCUAGGAAUUGAGAUGUGUCGCUCUACCAAAGAAAGUACACACUUGAUCUUUUAAAUGAGGCAGAAAAGCUUGGAGCAAGAGUAGCUAAGACACCACUUGAAGAAGGCUACAAAGUCUUGCGUGAGAGAGAGUUUGAAGAUACUCCAGUUGGCGACUUUAAACUCUAUUGAAGGUUGGUUGGAAAGCUGAUCUACCUCUCCAUUGGAGAGUGGCUGAGUUAUUGAGACGAAAAGAGUCGUUGGAGAGUGUUGACUUUAAGACUCUAACUCACGGUUAUACUGAAUGGUUCAUUCCCAACUAUAAAAGAGUUGUAGUUUCUGUACUGGUUAGCUGUGUGCAAUCAAAUAAGUAUAAUCAGCCACAAUUAGUUGAAGCGGUUGAAUUUGAUACGGCUGAGCGUGAGAGCUUAUCUCCGACUAUUGUGGUGAGGAAAAUGAUUAUCGUCUUGCAAAUGAAGUUUAGUAGGAUUUAUAGGAACUUUUAUACGAAUAGGAUAUUAGUCGAAUAAGUGGAUAUAGUGUGAUAGUGGGAUGCACAGAACAUUGGGUUUUGGAAUUUGACUUGAAGGAGGUUUCAUUUACAUUGUGAUACGCAACAUAGGCUUACAAACACUAGCCAGCCAUAUAUAAACCCUUUCCAUUUUUCCAUGCAUUUUCUUUAUCUCGUCAAUUAGCUUCUCUGUUGGGAUAUUUUCUUACAACAAAUGCGUCACUGAUCUUUUUCUGAGAAAAUUUGUCACUGAUCUUCCUGCGUCAGCUUGUUGCAUAAUCCUUACGUACGUAGUAGUAACAUAUACAAUGUCAAAUUAGUCUUUCUACUGUAACUUUAAAACCUUUUGGAAUAUUUGAUUCUUGGAUCAAUAGUAUUUAUUUGUAUAUGUUUACUAUACCAGCUUCUUUAAUUUGUUCAUUAGUCAGUAUACUAAAACUGUGUUUCUUCAAUUUCAC